GACGUAGGGCGCGAGCGUUGUCCGGAUUUAUUGGGCGUAAAGAGCUCGUAGGCGGCUUGUCGCGUCGACUGUGAAAACCCGCGGCUCAACUGCGGGCCUGCAGUCGAUACGGGCAGGCUAGAGUUCGGUAGGGGAGACUGGAAUUCCUGGUGUAGCGGUGAAAUGCGCAGAUAUCAGGAGGAACACCAAUAGCGAAGGCAGCUCGCUGGGACGUUACUGACACUGAGGCGCGAAAGCGUGGGGAGCGAACAGG
rnacentral:rRNA from 1 species